UUACUUACCUGGACGUUGUCAAUGGAUGAUCAAUAAGGCUCAUGGCCUAGAUCAAUGACUCACAUUGCACAUGAUGAGUGUGUUGAUCUACCCUCUCUCGUUGAUGGGAGAGUGGACGUUAUAAUUUGUGAUAGAGGGGUUUACGCGUCCGCGCUGCCCCUG
rfam:Triticum aestivum genome assembly, contig: Triticum_aestivum_CS42_TGACv1_scaffold_578329_7BL